rnacentral:rRNA from 1 species
CCCUUCGAUACUCUGGGCGGCCCGCGCACUACAUUGGCACUCUCAAUAAGUUCCUAGAUCUAAAACUUUGGGGUAUUCUAUUAAGUGGUGUCGUGACUGGGAUUACCCUUGCAAUUAUUGGUUACGAACGAGGAAUUCCUUGUAAUCGCGGUUUAUCAGCCCGCGUUGAAUGCGUCCCUGCCCUUUGUACACACCGCCCGUCGCUCCUACCGAUGAAUCGUCCGGUGAAGUUCAUGGAGUGGUGGUUGUUCCAGCUGCUGUCGAAGUGAAAUGGACCUCACGAUUUAGAGGAAGGAGAAGUCGUAACA